rnacentral:rRNA from 1 species
UACGUAGGGGGCAAGCGUUGUCCGGAAUUAUUGGGCGUAAAGAGCUCGUAGGCGGUUUGUCGCGUCUGCUGUGAAAACUCGGGGCUUAACUCCGGGCCUGCAGUGGGUACGGGCAAACUAGAGUGCGGUAGGGGAGACUGGAAUUCCUGGUGUAGUGGUGAAAUGCGUAGAGAUCGGCAGGAACACCCAGGGGGAAACCAGUCGACUGGGCAUCUACUGACGCUGAGGUGCGAGAGCGUGGGGAGCGAACCGG